CUUGGAGCACCCUGAGCUGACCUAGGCACGUCAUGUGUGCCAAAUGACAGAGGGAGAAGAGAAAGAGUUGGAGGAGGCAACAUUUGAGCUGGUCCUGGAAGGAUGAGCGGAGUGCUGCAGGCUCUUGGCAGCCAACUUCUUCCGCCCCCUGUCCAGCCUGCCACCCACAGCUUUUCUUGGAACGUGCACAGAAACCAUUAUAUCCCCAGCUCUCACACACUCCCGGCGACGACUUCCUCAAACUAGUUACUUAAUGAACGUCAUCCAAUUCCGAUUCCGUCUUGCUGUAGUCUCAUUUGUGAAAGCCAAUCUGCUUUACGAUUCUAACCUCUGGCUAGAAACUGCUCCCAAUUUCAUGUCAUCCAUAAACUUGAUGAACGAUUAGCUUGCUUCUCUGCAG
rnacentral:lncRNA from 1 species